rnacentral:misc_RNA from 1 species
UACGUAGGUGGCAAGCGUUGUUCGGAAUUACUGGGCGUAAAGGGCGCGCAGGCGGCCGAUCAAGUCAGGCGUGAAAGCCCCGGGCUCAACCCGGGAGGUGCGCUUGAGACUGGUCGGCUGGAGUUCGGGAGAGGUGAGUGGAAUUCCCAGUGUAGAGGUGAAAUUCGUAAAUAUUGGGAAGAACACCGGUGGCGAAGGCGGCUCACUGGACCGAAACUGACGCUGAGGCGCGAAAGCGUGGGGAGCAAACAGG